GCGGGCUGGCCCUGGAAAUGGAGGGGUCUGGCGUAAAAAUCGGUGUAAAGCCGUGCAAAAUCGAUGGGAAAUAGGGCAAAAUGAACGUGAAACAGCGCAAAAUCAGUGGGAAACAGUGCAACAGUGGUAUAAACCCGUACAGAAACUGGGGUGAGCCCAUGCAGAAUCUAUGUGUAACAGGGCAAAAUCUAUGUAAAACUGGUGUGAAACAGCGCAAAACUGGUGUAAACCCGUGUAAAAUCAUUGGGAAACAGUGCAACAGUGGUAUAAACCCGUGCAGAAACUGGGGUGAGCCCAUGCAGAAUCUAUGUGUAACAGUGCAAAAUCUAUGUAAAACUGGUGUAAACCAGCGCAAAACUGGUGUAAACCCGUGCAAAAUCCAUGUAAAACGGUGCAAAAUUGGUGUAAGACUGGCAUAAACCAGU